AUUUCAUUAGUUUAUUAAAAAAUAUAACUUUGAAGAAGUUAAGAAAUUAUGAAAUG
rnacentral:tRNA from 1 species